AAAAAAAAUAUAUAUAUAUAUAAAUAAAAUGCAGUACUGGAAACAGGUCUGGGAGGAGAGGGGCUGAUUGGCUUGGAGAUUCCCCUCCCCAAACACCAAUAAUCAUUACAAUCGACCUUGCAACGGCCUAAGGAUUUUAUCAGGUCCCCUUCUCCCCGGCACAUGUAUGAUUCUCUCAUGACAUCUCCUCUGCUUGAGCUCUAGCCACACGGGCCUCUUUGCUGGUCCUCAAGGACACCAGCUAUGCUUGUGUCUCAGGGCCUGCGUACCUGCUGUUCCCACUGCCUGUGACGCCCUCCCGACCGCAGCCCUGUGGCUUGCCCCUCACUUCCAUUAGGUUUCUGCUCAAAUGUUCCCUUAAAACACAGGACUUGUAUCAGGCUCUGUUUUGCUGCAGUGGCAAACAACCCAAGCCCUCCAUGCCCGACACACCAAAUGUUUAUCCCUCACACACACAGCACCUCCAACCUCAUUCUAGGGGGAUCUGAGACCCAGGCUGAUGCAGACUCCAGCUCCACUUUCACGGUCACAGCGUCAGAGGAAAGGGAGUGUGGCAAGUCACAGUGACACCUGUCACUUCCAUGCACACUUUGUUGGCCAAAGCAAGUCACAGAUGUCUGGGAGGAGAGCCAAAAACAUGAGUGACUAGCUCAGUGUCACCUCCUUUCUUAGUCACCCUAAAUAAGCAGUCCCACCCUGCUUUAAUGCCUUUCCUAUGCUGCUCCCCACCUGACGGUGUGGAUAUUUAGCUGUUGUCCCCUCGCUUCCCCCAGAAUAAGGUCUUCCUGAGGGCAGGACUUUGGUUUUGUUCACUGGUUUGCCUGCAAUAUUUAGAACACUGCCUGGUGGCAUUCAAUAUGCACUCAAAUAAGUGUUAGUCAAAUGAAUCAGGAGCAUUAUGAACAGUUAAUAUCGAAGGCUACUGACCAUGUGCCAGCUGCCAUGCUAAGAGCUGUUCAUGCAUUUACUCAUUUGAUCCUUGUCUCAAUCCUGUGGGGGAUGUAGGUCUAUAUGACCCCCAUUUUCCAUAUAAGGAAACUGAGGCUCAGAGGGGUUGAAACAGUUGCCCAAGGUCAAACAGCAAGUGAGUGGGCAGAGCCAACCUCUUGACCCACCUCUGAGGGGCCCUGCAACCCAGUCGCUUAUGACCAAGAGGGCAGGGUCACUAUGUCCAAGCACAGAAGUGGAGACGAGGCCUGGUGAGCAUUUUCAGAGGGCAGAACACCAGUGGCAGAAAAUAAUAAAAGUAUCUCUAGUUCUUGGGUGCCAGGCACAGUACCAAGGGAGGCACAUGCACCUUCUUAUGGUCACAAGCAUUGUUGGAAUCCCCAUUGAACAGGGGAGGAAUCUGGAGGUGAUGACACUUUCCAAGGUGCUGCUAGUCUCUGGGAAAAGCUGAGGCCCUGGUCUUCCAGAUGUGGAGGCUGAAACACUAACCACAAGGCUGUCCUACCUUUUUGCUGACCUGUACGUCCAGAGCAUUGCAAAAGAGGCAUUAAUUUCCAUUGUCACUGUGCCCAGGGCCCCUCAGCAAGUCAGCGGGCUCCGCUUUCCUCUGCCGUGACUUUAUGAAGCUCUUGAUGGGGACAUAAUGCAAGCCAUUGCCUUGUUGCCUAAUAGUUUAUUGCAUUCUGUUUUUCCAGCCCAGAAAAGAAGGCGAACUUUAAUGUUUUCCUCCUGUGAAUGCUUGUACUUCUGUCCAGGCUUGUCCCUAACCUCUCCCCAGGUUCUAUCUGUCACUCUCCACCCACUCCUUGCCUUUUCUCCGAAUUGCUGCAACAAUCACAUAGAAGAGUGCAGGGGAUUCCUCCACAGAUGCCUGGGUUCGGGUCUCACCCCCACCACUUACUAGCUCUCUGCCCCAGAGCAUGUUUCUCAGCCUUUCUGAGCCUCAGUUUUCUCAUCUGUGAAGUGGGAAUAAUGACCAUUUCUAACUCAUAGGGUUGAGGGCUAAAUGCAUCAACUAUGUAAAGACAUGCAUUGAGUGCUCCAUCAGUGGGAGAAACCAUCAUUUCUGAGGACUCUGGUGGCACCAAACAUCUCUUCUAAAGUGUUUGAGGUCCAUCAAAGUUGGCACAAUAUUGUUCAUGCCUCACUAUUUGGAAAAGCAAAAGAAUUGCAAACACUCAGUUAUUCGCCAAUACAGUACAAAAUUGACUCAAUCAAUUCUCCGUGUCUGCAAUGGAAAACUCUACAACUGGUAACAAAACCACUGUAUUGCCUGAGGGGACUUUGGCUGAAAAAGGUGGUUGUGUCACAUACCACAUUAGUAGGUUAGAUUUUGGGGACUUCACCUUCUGCAUUACAUAUUUCUGAAAUAUUUAAAUUAUUUUAUAAGGUAGAGGUUGUUUUGUAAUCAGGAGAAGCAAAAGACGUGUGAGCUUCAUGUAAUGGGGUCCACAAGGAACUUUGUAUGUCUAUGACUUUGUUUCCCACUUUCCUUGACUCAUCUUCAAAGAAUUUGGGGGUUCUCAAAGUAGAAACCCUCAUUACUGGUGUCUUUGGAACUCCUGAUUUGCUGCUGAAUAAAAACAGAGUUCAAUGGGUCUGGUAGGUUUGGUUAUGGUCUUGUUGUAAGGACUCUGAAUUUCCCUCUGUGUGCCCUAUGCAAGUGCUCAGCCCACUGGUCUUUAAAUAAAGUUCAGUGCUGCCUGAUUUAGUGGCAUAGGUGGGAAUCAUUGCCAGAGCUUCUGUUUGGAGGUAGCAGUGUCCUUUCCAUCACCCAUACUGCUUUCUUCUGACUACCUUGAAAACCAUAUCCACGUGCUUUGUAAUUAUUUUAUUAGCCCUACAUGUGGAGGUGGUGCUGGCAGCUGGGCAACCCCUUGAACUCGAUUAUCCCAAUGCCACUCUGCAUCCCUGCACGUUUCCUGUCACUCGGGUUUUUCUGCUAGUGCCAGCUCUUCUAUCAAGCAAGUGGGUUAAGAAGCACUGUCAGCUCUGACACCCAGGCUGAGGCAGCCUCUACUUCUAUUUAUACUUUUGCAGUCACAGCAUUAGGGGAAAGGGAGUGUGGUAAGUCACACAGUGACACCUGUCACUUCCAUGCACAUUUUCUUGGCCAAAACAAGUCACAGGUGUCUGGAAGGAGAGCCAAAAGUCAGCAAUUCAGACCUCAGUUAACUCAUUAGCAUUUUAUUGAGACAGGGUAACUUCUGGAAAGAAAAUAGCGGGCAGACGGAAGCAGUCACCAAACCUCUGAUUGAAGACCUCUGGGAUGACUGUUCCACAAUCACUGGGCUUCCAGUGAUCAGUCGCUUUUAUUUCUACCAUGUUUGAUGGGGAGUCAGUUUGACAUGUCUUUCAAAAGAUUGGUUUGGGCGUCAAUCCCAUAUGCCCCAAUCCCAGCAGACGAGACCUGUGGUCAUGAACAGAGUCCCUGAGAUUAACUCCCAUUCCCAGUUACAGACAGCUCACUUUGGUUCCUGGUGGUUAAUGGCACAGAAUCUGCAGCCAGUAUGCCUGAUUCACACCUGAGUUCUGCCUCUUACUAGCUGGUAGCCUUGGGCAUGUUCUCCAUCUUCUUGGGUCUCAGUUUCUCUAUCUGUAAGAUGCUGAUGGUAAGGUACCCACCUCAAGAUUAUUGUGAGGACUAAGUGAGUUCAUACAUGCAAGAAGCUUAGAACAGGGCCUAGCACAUAUUAAGUGCUCGUAAACAUUAGCCAUCAUGAUUGCUAUUCAUAUUAUUAUUAUUAUUAUUGUUUUUUGUCUUUCAGUAGUGAUGACAAUGUUUGUCAUUAUGAGUACAUGCUCAAACUCUGUUCACAUCUUUUCUCUGUCCAUUUCCAUCAAUUUGAUAAAAAGGUCUGUCUGUAUUGGCCAAAGGUUACAUUCACCCCCUUUCACGAUCCUGGAUUUUAACUGUCAACUCAGUUUUGCCUCCCUAGAAUUUGAGAAUGCCACACUUUUAUUUCAUUUCAUCCAUUGCCUGUGGUCUGCACGCCAGGCCCUUGCACCCUCACCUCGAAUGCCUCCUCCCAUCCUCUGCCCUGAUGGGUGUUGCUCAUUCCUGGGGAUGACUUCGUCUAUGAGGUCCUCUGCACCCUCACCACCCCUGCCUCUCAUGUCCACAGCUCCCAGUGAUUCACCACCAUUCCUGUGUGCACUUGGAUGGAAUCUUCUACUGAGAGCCAACUGCUGUCCAGGUCUCCCACCUAUUUCCUUAGCCAACUUCAAGCUGGACACUGCACAGCUGAAUCCCCCGGGAGCACUGGAGCUGGACGCUAAUGAAGUCACCACUGAACUCUUGGGAGUCUUCGAAGACAGAGAAGCCAGGAGGCAGCAUCUGAGGCCACCAGCCCAGGCCAUCAGCUCACAGGUCACAGCCUCCAGCAGGCCAGGGGCUUGUGUGGCUUGUGACUCAGUGUCGGAUAUAAUUGCACAGAGACUUGCUUCCCUUUUCUUCUUCUUCAUCUAUCCGCAACACUGAAACUCCCACCCUCAUUUGCAUAAUAUAUGCAACGAGGGAAGCUGUCCCCAUCGUCACAUGCUUGUGAACAGCCGUGUGGGUCAGCUUCUCACUGUGUCUGGCUGUCUGGCUGCCAUUCCUGGGGUCCAGCAUCUCCACUGUCACCCUGCUGAGAUUCCAUCUUGGGGUUAUGGGUUCUUGUGUGCUGGUCACAGAUGAAUGAUUUCAUAUUCUA